GAUCGUAGUUACCGAGCCCUCCGGAGCGGCGACCGCCCAAGACCCUCCCGGCGAAGCGGCGGCGGCGGCCGUCGUGGACGUGUUCUCCGCCUCCGCGUACGGCGAUUUGGAGUAACUGAGGAGGUUCGUGGAGCAAGGAGGCGCCUCCCUCGGUUCCCGAUGCUAACGGGUACUACGCUCUCCAGUGGGCCGCCCUCAACAACUUCGCCGACGUCGUCCAGUACAUCAUCGAGAAUGGGGGUAAUGUGAAUGCGACGGACAACUUGAAGCAAACUGCACUGCAUUGGGCCGCUGUUAGGGGAUCCAUUGCGGUUGCGGAUGAGCUUCUGGUUCGGAGCUGGUGGCAGUUCAUGUUGCUGCCCAGUAUGGGCAGGCGGCCUUCUUAAAUCACAUUGUCGCAAGGGCUGCAUAUAAAGGAUAUGCUGACACAAUCAGGUUACUUCUUUUUAGAGAUGCAUCCCAGGGGAGACAAGAUGAAGGUGUAGUGAGUACACGCAUGGCAAUCACUUCCAGAUGUCGGGAGAACAUCUAUAUGUUACCUAUUUACUCUUAGAAAUGGUUUCUUCUGGGGACUUUUAGUUGUUCUAGCAGCAUCUGGUUCAGAAAAUUCUGCAUUUGGGAUUGUCUUUUCUCUUGAUGCAUCUGGUUAGAAACAUGAAGUUUGCAGAUGAGCCUGAACAGACCAUACUGUCGGUAGUUGUGGUAGAUGGCUUGUGAUGCAUGAUGAAUUGCCUAGGCAAUGGUAUCUUAGGCUAAUUGAGUUAUUUAUUAAUAAUAAUUAGAUGAAAAUAUAUUAGCACAAACUUUGGGAGUCCACAUGCAUACUACUAAUUGGAUAGAUAAGUUUCUCUCCAUUGUGAAUGGUCAAGGCAAAACAAUAGGCUGAGGUGCAGCAUCUUGGAGGAAUUUAAUAAAGGUUUAGCUGCUGGUCUUCACAAAAUGUGACUGUGUGGAGCAACUUGACCUUGUUUAACAGCUGGUCUUUACAAAUUGUGGGGUGGGGCAAUAGAUGUUUCUUUGGUUUUCUUUUCCAGUUUAUGGUUGCAUGCAAUGUACAUGACCUUUUUAGAUUUCUUAGUUGCUAUCUUACUUUUGUUUUAUUGGUCCUCAUGAUGAGAUGGUUUAUCAGUUGCUCAAAUCCAUGUAUAAAACUCAUGAGCACUUCUAUUGGAUAACCUCUUAGAAGAUGUGAUUGUUGGCGUGCUGCAUUAGGUUUCGCAUUUUAUUCAAUCGCGAGAUGUUUCUAGGAUUAUGUAGAAUAUGACAUGUAAUUUUGUCGAGAAUCAUUGGAUUAUGUAUAUGUAAACAUAUGUAUUAUAGUUGUUUCUUUUUUAAUGAAUUGAUGUUUCACCAACU